AUUGAACGCUGGCGGCAGGCCUAACACAUGCAAGUCGAACGGUAGCACAGAGGAGCUUGCUCCUUGGGUGACGAGUGGCGGACGGGUGAGUAAUGUCUGGGAAACUGCCCGAUGGAGGGGGAUAACUACUGGAAACGGUAGCUAAUACCGCAUAACGUCUUCGGACCAAAGUGGGGGACCUUCGGGCCUCACACCAUCGGAUGUGCCCAGAUGGGAUUAGCUAGUAGGUGGGGUAAUGGCUCACCGAGGCGACGAUCCCUAGCUGGUCUGAGAGGAGGACCAGCCACACUGGAACUGAGACACGGUCCAGACUCCUACGGGAGGCAGCAGUGGGGAAUAUUGCACAAUGGGCGCAAGCCUGAUGCAGCCAUGCCGCGUGUAUGAAGAAGGCCUUCGGGUUGUAAAGUACUUUCAGCGGGGAGGAAGGCGUUAAGGUUAAUAACCUUGGCGAUUGACGUUACCCGCAGAAGAAGCACCGGCUACUCCGUGCCAGCCGCCGCCGUAA
rnacentral:rRNA from 1 species